GUGUGCUUUCCCUUUUGGUUCUGGCUCUUCCUGCCCAGAUUGGUUGACAACAGGAUGGGUGUUGCCUCCAAACCACUCUGAUAUGCUGUACCUGUGCCAGCUGCCCCUGCAAGAAGUUCAGGCCACUGCCCAAGCGUUGUGAUUUCAGGGAAGCGAGGGGUGUUCCGGGAAAAGAAAACAAACAGCAGGGGGAGGGCUGGGUUUGCUUUCUCUUUCGUUUCCAGCGCUGCAAACCCACAUACAGCAGCACAACUAUGGACGCUCCGGUGCUCCCGAUGCCGGCUCCGCUCUGCCUGGUGACCAACAAGGACGGCGUGCUCGCCCUCAACCCCGCAGCGCUGGCAGUGCUGCAGGAGGUGGCCCAGCCUAUGGUGGUGGUGGCCAUCGCUGGGCCCUACCGCACCGGGAAGUCCUUCCUGAUGAACCGGCUGGCACAGAAGCGCACUGGCUUCCCGCUGGGCCCCACGGUGCAGGCAGAGACCAAGGGCAUCUGGAUGUGGUGCCUGCAGCACCCACGCCAGCAGGGAGUGACCUUGAUGCUGCUGGACACUGAGGGCCUGGGAGACCCCAAAAAGGGUGACAGCCACAAUGACGCCUGGAUCUUCACACUGGCGCUGCUGUUGUCCAGCACCCUGGUGUACAACAGCAUAGGCACCAUCGACCAGAAGGCACUGGAGAACCUCGAGCUGGUGACACAGCUGUCGGAGCUGAUCCGGGUGCGGGACAGGGACAAGGACGGCAACAACAGCGUUGAAAGAGAAGAUGAGGCCGAGGACUGCGAGUUCGUGCGCUACUUCCCCAGCUUUGUGUGGGUGGUGAGGGACUUCACGCUGGAGCUGCGCGUGGGCGAGCGGCCCAUCAGUGAGGAUGAGUACCUGGAGCAGGUGCUGGAACUCAAGCACGGGCAUGGCCGCAAGGUGCAGAACUACAAUGGGACGCGGCUCUGCCUCCGCAACUAUUUCCCCACACGGAAGUGCUUCGUGCUGCCUCCGCCACUGGGCACAGAGGAGUGCGGGCGCAUGGAGGAGCUGCCCGAGGCUGCACUGGCCCCACGUUUCCUCCAACAGGCAGCCCAGUUCUGCAACUACGUGCUGAGCUCCACCAGGCUCAAGACGCUGCCUGACGGCAGAGCACUGACAGGGCGAGCCCUGUGCAUGCUGCUGCAGAGCUACGUGGAGGCCAUCAACAGCGGGCAUCUGCCCUGCCUGGAGGGAGCAGCGGCAGUGAUGAUGGCCAACGAGAAUGCAGCGGCGGUGGCGGCAGCGCUGGAGGCCUAUACCAGGGGCAUGCGGGGGCUGUCACUGCCCACAGAGCCUGCACAGCUCUCGGCCGCGCAUGGGGAGCACCUGCAUGAGGCACUCAUUGUCUUCCAGCGUCGCAGCUUCCGGGAUCGUGACCAGGAGCACCAGCGGCGCCUCAUGGAACAGAUCAGCACAGAGUACAGCCACCUGCAGGAGGAGAAUGAUGAAGCAUCACGGCAGCACUGCAAGGCACUGCUGGCUGAGCUGGCACAGGCACUGCAUACCAGCCUGGCCCGUGGGGCCUACACACAGCCCGGAGGCUACCGCGCCUACGAGGCCGAGCGGCAGCGGCUGCUGGAGGGCUAUCGGCAAGCGGAGGGCAAGGGCCCCAAGGCCGAGGAGGUGCUGAAUGAGUUCCUGGCGGAGCGUCGGGCAGAGGCAGAGGCAGUGCUGAAGGCAGACAAUGCACUGAGCGAGGCCGAGAAGCAGCUGGAGGACCAGAAGCAGCAGGCGCAGCUCCUGGAGCAGCGGCAGAAAGCGACGGCGGAGCGCGAACGGCAGCUGGAGGCGCUGCUAGAGGACGAGCGCAACAGCUACGCGCAGAACCUGCAAGCCCUGGAGGCCAAGAUGAAGGCGGAGGCGGAGAGCGCGCAGCGGGAGCUGCAGCGGGCGAUGGAAGCGAAGCUACGGGAGCAGAGAGAGCUGCUGCAGCGCGGCUUCAGAGAGCAGGCGGCGCUGAUGGAGCAGGAGCUGGCGGCGCUGCGGCGGGAGAGCAACAACAACAGCAAGCAGGAGCUGGCGGCCUACAUUUUCGACACCGUGCGCGCCGCCUGCGACCUCAUCAGCACGUUAAAACUGUCCAAGCUGGCCAAGUCACGGGGAACAGCAGUGUAGGCGACUGCACGCCGCUAAACCUCCGCCCGCCCCUCUUCGGCGGCCCAAUAAAGCGCUCAUCCCAC
rnacentral:lncRNA from 1 species